GCUGAAGUAGCUCAGUUGGUAGAGCAACUGAUUCGUAAUCAGUAGGUCGCAGGUUCGAUUCCUGUCUUCAGCACCA
rnacentral:tRNA from 2 species